rnacentral:rRNA from 1 species
GACGAACGCUGGCGGCGUGCCUAACACAUGCAAGUCGAACGGAAAGGCCCUGCUUUUGUGGGGUGCUCGAGUGGCGAACGGGUGAGUAACACGUGAGUAACCUGCCCUUGACUUUGGGAUAACUUCAGGAAACUGGGGCUAAUACCGGAAAGGAGCUCCUGCUGCAUGGUGGGGGUUGGAAAGUUUCGGCGGUUGGGGAUGGACUCGCGGCUUAUCAGCUUGUUGGUGGGGUAGUGGCUUACCAAGGCUUUGACGGGUAGCCGGCCUGAGAGGGUGACCGGCCACAUUGGGACUGAGAUACGGCCCAGACUCCUACGGGAGGCAGCAGUGGGGAAUAUUGCACAAUGGGCGGAAGCCUGAUGCAGCAACGCCGCGUGCGGGAUGACGGCCUUCGGGUUGUAAACCGCUUUCGCCUGUGACGAAGCGUGAGUGACGGUAAUGGGUAAAGAAGCACCGGCUAACUACGUG